rnacentral:rRNA from 1 species
GAAUUUUGGACAAUGGGCGAAAGCCUGAUCCAGCAAUGCCGCGUGCAGGAUGAAGGCCUUCGGGUUUUAAACUGCUUUUGUACGGAACGAAAAGCUUUGGGUUAAUACCUUGGAGUCAUGACUGUACCGCAAGAAUAAGACCCGGCUAAUUACGUGACCGCAGCCGCGGUAAUACGUAGGGUGCAAGCGUUAAUCGGAAUUACUGGGCGGAAAGAAUGCGCAGGCGGUUUUGUAAGACAGAGGUGAAGUCCCCGGGCUCAACCUGGGAACUGCCUUUGUGACUGCAAGGCUAGAGUACGGCAGAGGGGGGUGGAAUUCCGCGUGUAGCAGUGAAAUGCGUAGAUAUGCGGAGGAACACCGAUGGCGAAGGCAACCCCCUGGGCCUGUACUGACGCUCAUGCACGAAAGCGUGGGGAGCAAACA